AACGAACGCUGGCGGCAUGCCUAACACAUGCAAGUCGAACGGGAUCCUGGCUUCGGUCAGGUGAGAGUGGCGGACGGGUGAGUAACGCGUGGGAACCUGCCCAGUGGUGGGGGAUAACUGCGGGAAACUGCAGCUAAUACCGCAUGAGCCCGAGAGGGAAAGAUUUAUCGCCAUUGGAGGGGCCCGCGUUCGAUUAGGUAGUUGGUGAGGUAACGGCUCACCAAGCCGACGAUCGAUAGCUGGUCUGAGAGGAUGAUCAGCCACACUGGGACUGAGAUACGGCCCAGACUCCUACGGGAGGCAGCAGUGGGGAAUAUUGGACAAUGGGGGCAACCCUGAUCCAGCAAUGCCGCGUGAGUGAUGAAGGCCUUAGGUUGUAAAGCUCUUUUGCCAGGGAAGAUGAUGACUGUACCUGGAGAAUAAG
rnacentral:rRNA from 1 species